UUUUAGAAAAAGCUAUAAAUUUCUUUUGUAUAAGACAAGACCUGUGCAAGGAUUUAAAUCACUUGCAAUGUACUAAGAAUACAUGAAAGGAAAAGACAAGAUCCAAACAGAGAAGCUGAAAAUAACUUGGCAUCUGAACAUUGUUCCUUUGAGCAAAUGUCACCAGGAAGCCAGAAAGUGCUCAAGAAGACUGAAGAAUCAGAAAAUUUGGCACCUGAGAUUCUUCCACACCAUAUCAGAAGAUCUUUGGGAAUAUUAUGGCCUGCAGGCAAAAAGGCAGUUUAGCAAUGCAAAAGACUGAAUUUUUAAAGGGCAGUUUUUAUGGCAAAGAACUGGGAAAAUAUGCAUAAGCAAAAAAAGGCCUUGUCAUCAGGAAACCUUCAUUCUAAUAGAGGAAAAUUGCAAAUAAAAUAGAAUUGAAAGGGCA
rnacentral:lncRNA from 1 species